UUGCUUUGGCAGCACAUAUACUAAAAUUGGAAUGAUACAGAGAAGAUUGGCAUGACCCCUGUGCAAGGAUGAUAUGCAAAUUCGUGAAGCAUUCCAUAUUUUA
ensembl:snRNA U6 U6 spliceosomal RNA